rnacentral:rRNA from 1 species
AAUCCUUUAACGAGGAUCUAUUGGAGGGCAAGUCUGGUGCCAGCAGCCGCGGUAAUUCCAGCUCCAAUAGCGUAUAUUAAAGUUGUUGUGGUUAAAAAGCUCGUAGUUGGAUCUCAGUUCGAGUCAGGCGGUCCACUUGCCAGUGGCUACUGCCUGACUGAACACUUUACCGAGUUGUCCUAUGGUGUUCUUCACCGAGCGUCAUAGGCGAUCGGUACGUUUACUUUGAAAAAAUUAGAGUGCUCAAAGCAGGCGUAACGCCCGAAUAAUGUUGCAUGGAAUAAUGGAAUAGGACCUCGGUUCUAUUCUGUUGGUCUUCGGAAUCAGAGGUAAUGAUCAAUAGGGACAGACGGGGACAUUCGUAUUGCGGCGCUAGAGGUGAAAUUCUUGGACCGUCGCAAGACGAACUAAAGCGAAAGCAUUUGUCAAGAAUGUUUUCAUUAAUCAAGAACGAAAGUAGAGGUUCGAAGGCGAUCAGAUACCGCCCUAGUUCUAACCAUAAACGAUGCCAACCAGUAAUUCGUCUGAGUUCCUUAAAUGACUCGACGAGGGACUUCCGGGAAACCAAAGUCUUUCGGUUCCAGGGGAAGUAUGGUUGCAAAGCUGAAACUUAAAGAAAUUGACGGAAGGGCACCACCAGGAGUGGAGCCUGCGGCCUAAUUUGACCCAACACGGGAAAACUCGCCCGGCCCGGACACUGGAAGGAUUGACAGAUUGAGAGCUCUUUCUUGAUUCAGUGGGUGGUGGUGCAUGGCCGUUCUUAGUUGGUGGAGUGAUUUGUCUGGUUAAUUCCGAUAACGAACGAGACUCUAGCCUACUAAAUAGAUCGUCGGCUUACAAACGCCGGCGAGACUUCUUAGAGGGACAGGCGGUGAUUCAACCGCACGAAACAGAGCAAUAACAGGUCUGUGAUGCCCUUAGAUGUCCGGGGCCGCACGCGCGUUACACUGAAGUGAUCAGCGUGCUUUUUCAACCUACUCUGUCAAGAGUGGGGAACCCAAUGAACCUUCUUCGUGAUUGGGAUAGGGGAUUGUAAUUAUUCCCCUUGAACGAGGGAUUCCCAGUAAGCGCGAGUCAUAAGCUCGCGUUGAUUACGUCCCUGCCCUUUGUACACACCGCCCGUCGCUACUACCGAUUGAAUGUUUUAGUGAGGUCUUCGGACUGGCCGGCGCAGCACUCUCGUAGUGCAGCGCUGUGUUUGGAAAGAUGCCCAAACUUGAACAUUUAGAGGAAGUAAAAGUCGUAACAAGGUUUCCGUAGGUGAACCUGCGGAAG